rnacentral:rRNA from 1 species
GAUGAACGCUGGCGGCGUGCCUAAUACAUGCAAGUCGAGCGAACAGACGAGGAGCUUGCUCCUCUGACGUUAGCGGCGGACGGGUGAGUAACACGUGGAUAACCUACCUAUAAGACUGGGAUAACUUCGGGAAACCGGAGCUAAUACCGGAUAACAUGCUGAACCGCAUGGUUCAACAGUGAAAGACGGUCUUGCUGUCACUUAUAGAUGGAUCCGCGCCGCAUUAGCUAGUUGGUAAGGUAACGGCUUACCAAGGCAACUAUGCGUAGCCGACCUGAGAGAGUGAUCGGCCACACUGGAACUGAGACACGGUCCAGACUCCUACGGGAGGCAGCAGUAGGGAAUCUUCCGCAAUGGGCGAAAGCCUGACGGAGCAACGCCGCGUGAGUGAAGAAGGCCUUCGGAUCGUAAAACUCUGUUUUUAGUGAAGAACAAAUGUGUAAGUAACUAUGCACGUCUUGACGGUACCUAAUCAGAAAGCAACGGCUAACUACGUG